GACGAACGCUGGCGGCGUGCUUAACACAUGCAAGUCGAACGGAAAGGCCCUGCUUGCAGGGUGCUCGAGUGGCGAACGGGUGAGUAACACGUGGGUGAUCUGCCCCUUAUUUUGGGAUAAGCCUGGGAAACUGGGUCUAAUACUGGAUAGGACCAUGCUGUAGGUGGUGUGGUGGAAAGAUUAGUUUCGGUAAGGGAUGAGCUCGCGGCCUAUCAGCUUGUUGGUGGGGUAAUGGCCUACCAAGGCGUCGACGGGUAGCCGGCCUGAGAGGGUGGACGGCCACAUUGGGACUGAGAUACGGCCCAGACGCCUACGAGAGGCAGCAGUGGGGAAUAGUGCACAAUGGGCGCAAGCCUGAUGCAGCGACGCCGCGUGGGGGAUGACGGCCUUCGGGUUGUAAACUCCUUGCAGCCAUGACGAAGCCCUUGUGGUGACGGUAGUGGUAGAAGAAGCACCGGCUAACUACGUG
rnacentral:rRNA from 1 species